AUUGAACGCUGGCGGCAGGCCUAACACAUGCAAGUCGAACGCGUGGGGGACGGGUGUGUAAUGUCUGGGAAACUGCCUGAUGGAGGGGGUUAACUACUGAAAACGGUAGCAAUUACCGCAUACCAUCGGAUGUGCCACGAUGGCAUUAGGUAGUAGGUGGGGGAAAGGCUCACCUAGGCGACGAUCCCUAGCUGGUCUGAGAGGAUGACCAGCCACACUGGAACUGAGACACGGUCCAGACUCCUACGGGAGGCAGCAGUGGGGAAUAUUGCCCAAUGGGCGCAAGCCUGAUGCAGCCAUGCCGCGUGUAUGAAGAAGGCCUUCGGGUUGUAAAGUACUUUCAGCGGGGAGGCGUUACCCGCAGAAGAAGCACCGGCUAACUCCGUGCCAGCCGCCGCGGUAAUUC
rnacentral:rRNA from 1 species